rnacentral:rRNA from 1 species
CCUACGGGGGGCAGCAGUGAGGAAUAUUGGUCAAUGGACGAGAGUCUGAACCAGCCAAGUAGCGUGAAGGAUGACUGCCCUAUGGGUUGUAAACUUCUUUUAUAUGGGAAUAAAAUGUUCCACGUGUGGGAUUUUGUAUGUACCAUAUGAAUAAGGAUCGGCUAACUCCGUGCCAGCAGCCGCGGUAAUACGGAGGAUCCGAGCGUUAUCCGGAUUUAUUGGGUUUAAAGGGAGCGUAGGUGGAUUGUUAAGUCAGUUGUGAAAGUUUGCGGCUCAACCGUAAAAUUGCAGUUGAAACUGGCAGUCUUGAGUACAGUAGAGGUGGGUGGAAUUCGUGGUGUAGCGGUGAAAUGCUUAGAUAUCACGAAGAACUCCGAUUGCGAAGGCAGUUCACUGGACUGCAACUGACACUGAGGCUCGAAAGUGUGGGUAUCAAACAGGAUUAGAGACCCGUGUAGUC